rnacentral:rRNA from 1 species
GAGACUGCCGGUGACAAACCGGAGGAAGGUGGGGAUGACGUCAAGUCCUCAUGGCCUUUAUGUCUAGGGCUACACACGUGCUACAAUGGGUGGUACAAAGAGCAGCUAACUCGCGAGAGUAUGCAAAUCUCAAAAAGCCAUCCUCAGUUCGGAUUGGAGUCUGCAACUCGACUCCAUGAAGUUGGAAUCGCUAGUAAUCGCGGAUCAGCAUGCCGCGGUGAAUACGUUCCCGGGCCUU